UAUCUGUUGGUUCUACGGUGUUCAGAGGAACAGUAGACUUGUGUCUUGGUGUCUGAAUGGGCUUGUAGGUCUGCACUUAGUUUUGCGUUACUGAAUGAACACUUUUGAAGGUACAUAUGCAUACAUGCAUUCUCACACAUGCAGUAAUUUGUAAAUUGCAUUGAAUAUGUACAUUUUGUGUCCAUUCAGCUGUGUUUGCUGUAGUGAAUUUGACCUUUUAUUAAAGAAGCUCUUGAUUAA